AUGAGCCUUUUUUGGAGCUAUGUAUCUCUAAUGUUACAAAAUUUUAGUUCUGCAUGGCUUUUUGUGGUGCAAUCAUACGGUAAGUUUUAAAAAUCUGGUGAGUGAUAAAUAAAAAGUACAGUGUGAAAGACGGCAGAAAGACAUUUUGUUUGUUUGUCUGCUGUUUUCUUUCUUGCUUGAUUUUCCUUAGGUUACAAGUGGGCUUCUGAUGAAGAAUUCAGCUAAACCUUUCUACAGAGCACAGACAAAAUGUGCUUUUCAGUGUUGAAGAAAUACAGGCUUCCUUGUUUACACUUGGAGUAUUCUUUAAUGAAGACAAUCCUUGAGGAAAGAAAUUCCUGGGCGGUAUUUUUUCCCCCUCUGGCUGGUGUAAAUCAGCAUAGAUCCAGGUUCAACAUUGGAGUAGUUCUGCUUUACCCGCCUGGAGAUGCUGACAGGGAAUGCUCUGCUGUUGUGGGGAAGUGCUGCGUUUCAACGGGAAGCCGCUUUGAAAGCCAUUGAGGCUGG
rnacentral:lncRNA from 1 species